rfam:Felis catus isolate Cinnamon breed Abyssinian chromosome B2, whole genome shotgun sequence.
UCCUGGGUGGCUCAGUUGGUUGAGCAUCUGACUUCAGCUCAGGUCAUGAUCUCGCAGUUUGUGGGUUCGAGCCCCGCGUCAGGCU